UAAAAAAUUUGGCGGUAUUUUAGUCUAUUCAGAGGAAUCUGUUUUGUAAUCGAUAAUCCACGAUGGACCUUACUUAAAUUUGUUUAUUAGUUUAUAUACCGUUGUUAUUAGAAUAUUUUAUAAGAAUGUUAAUUUUUAUAAAUUUUUAUAAGAAAAUAUAUCAGAUCAAGGUGUAGCUUAUAUUUAAGAAAUAAUGGAUUACAAUAAAUUUAUUUAUAUGAAUAUAAAUGUGAAAUAUUUAUUGAAGGUGGAUUUGAUAGUAAAAUUAUAAAGAUUAAUAAUUUGAUUUUAGCUCUAAAAUAUGUACACAUCGCCCGUCGCUCUUAUUACUAAGAUAAGAUAAGUCGUAACAUAGUAGGUGUACCGGAAGGUGUUUCUAGAAUGUCAAUUUAAAGCUUAUUAAGUAAAGUAUUUCAUUUACAUUGAAAAGGUUUUUGUGCAAAUCAAUAUAAAUUGAUUAAAUUUUAUUUAUUUAUUGUAUUUUUUUUUAAAAAAAAGUAUUAAAAAAAAUUAUAAAGGUAUAUGUUUAAGUAUUUUAUAAAGAAAAAAUAAUUUUAAUUAUAGUGUAAUAGUAUUGUAGAAGAAAAUUGAAAUAAAUUGAAAAAUUUUUGUU
rnacentral:rRNA from 1 species